GUAAUCUAUUGCGCUAGUAGUUGUUUAUCGUGUUUAAUAUUGGGUUUACUAUUCGCGGUUAGGAUAAACUAUUCGAAUUGAAGUUAUUAAUUGGGUUUAAAAUCAAGGGUUCAUACUGGAGUUGUAAUAUAAUGUAGGGAUACAGGCUAGGGUUGUAAUAUAGUCCAAAUAGAAUGAUAAAUGCUGUUUCUUGUAUUUAGUCACAUAAGUUAAGUUGUAUUUACUUUGGAUUAUAAUUUGUUGAAUUGAGUUGCCUGGAGAUCCUAAACAUUCGAAAACCGUUCCAUUAACAACGUUCCUUUACGUUCCUCAUACCCGGUAUCAAGAUUUACGUUACGUUCCAUUAACAACGUUCCGUUUCCGGUACCCGGCAAGUUCUAUUUUCCUGAUUCAUGUUCGAGAUUUGAUUUGAAGUGUCUGUUGAUUGUUAUUAAAGAUAUUCACCGAUUUCAA